rnacentral:ncRNA from 1 species
AAAAUAGCAACGAAAGAGAGUAGUAUACGAAAGUGCUGCCUGACAGGGAAGCGCCGCCAAAGACUGAGAGCGGCCGCAGGAAUAGUCUUCGUAGAAUUCACUCUGGAGCUGACCUCUGAACGCAUGGCGCCGCUAGUAGGAGAGUCCGGGUCAUACCCGUUAUCAAUGACGAGGAGAGGCAUGUCUUUUGGGAAAAAGGCGAUGCCUAACUAGGGUGGUACCGCGAGAAACGAACAACUCGUCCCUUUU